rnacentral:rRNA from 1 species
AGACGCUAGCCGUGGGUAGUCAUACGAUCGUUUCAAAGAUUAAGCCAUGCAUGUGUAAGUGUAAAUAUAAUAGUUUGGAACUGCGAAUGGCUCAUUAUAUCAGUUAUAGUUUAUUUGGUGAAGUGUACUACUUGGAUAACCGUAGUAAUUCUAGGGCUAAUACAUGAGAAAGUCCUCUGGUGAGGUGUGUUUAUUAGAAUGAAAACCAUAUGCUUCGGCAUGAUAGUGAGUAAUAGUAACCUAUCGUAUCGCAUGCUUAAUGUAGCGAUGAGUCUUUCAAGUUUCUGCCCUAUCAGCUUUCGAUGGUAGUAUAUGGGCCUACCAUG